AUUGAACGCUGGCGGCAGGCCUAACACAUGCAAGUCGAACGGUAACAGGAAGAAGCUUGCUUCUUUGCUGACGAGUGGCGGACGGGUGAGUAAUGUCUGGGAAACUGCCUGAUGGAGGGGGAUAACUACUGGAAACGGUAGCUAAUCCCGCAUAAUGUCGCAAGACCAAAGUGGGGGACCUUCGGGCCUCUUGCCAUCGGAUGUGCCCAGAUGGGAUUAGCUCGUAGGUGGGGUAACGGCUCACCUAGGCGACGAUCCCUAGCUGGUCUGAGAGGAUGACCAGCCACACUGGAACUGAGACACGGUCCAGACUCCUACGGGAGGCAGCAGUGGGGAAUAUUGCACAAUGGGCGCAAGCCUGAUGCAGCUAUGCCGCGUGUAUGAAGAAGGCCUUCGGGUUGUAAAGUACUUUCAGCGGGGAGGAAGGGAGUAAAGUUAAUACCUGUGCUCAUUGACGUUACCCGCAGAAGAAGCACCGGCUAACUCCGUG
rnacentral:rRNA from 1 species